GGCAACAUGCUCAGGUCUCUUACCACGCUGUGGAAGCUUUGUUCUUUCGCUCUUUGCAAUGAAUCCUGCUGCUGCUCACUCUUUGGGUCCACACUGCCUUUAUGAGCUGUAACACUCACUGUGAAGGUCCGCAGCUUCCCUCCUGAGCCAGCGAGACCAGGAACCCACCAGAAGGAAGAAACUCAGAACACAUCCCAACAUCAGAAGGAACAAACUCCAGACGCGCCACCUUAAGAGCUGUAACACUCACCGCGAGGGUCUGCGGCUUCAUUCUUCAAAGUCCAUUCUAAGUUGUUCUGUCAGUGAAACUCUGUUUAAAACAUGGCUUGUAUGAAGUUGUCAGGAAUCGGCUCUGACACUUGGAUGAUUCUUCAGCUGGCUAUAAAAUUCUAAAAUCAGAGUAACCGUGUAUUGACUUCCAACAUUCCACAUUUCCAAAGGUGUUUCCUGUGAUCUCUGGGAUCCUGAUCCGCACCACUCAACUUUGGCCUCCUAAACUUCAUCCUUGACCCCACCCCAGGUAGGAAGGAUGUGUGGAUAUUUCUUUUAUCUUUCUGCAACGAUGACCUUUUGGAGAAAAAGAAAGGAAGCAGGACCUCUUGACCAGAAUUUAUCCAGCACUCCAGCACGGCUUGCACGUUAUCUGGAGUAAAGAGACCUUCUGGGAUUUCAUCAGCCUCCUGUCCAUCAAGAGUUCUUCCAGUUUUUGACUGACUGAAUUUUCAGUGAACUGUGUGUCUAACUGAAGCUUUGAGAGAGAGAGAGAGAGAAAGAAGGAAAAAAAGAAAAGGUUUUACUUCACUUGAACUUGUUAAAAAGGAAGAGACACAGAUCCAGCAUAGUAGAAGGAGAAAGAAAGCAGACAACAGUUUGGAAUGGAGGCAUUGAGACGGAAGAGUCCAUUGGAGAUGGAAUGUACACACAAAAAUAACAAUUUAGGUCCUUUGCUCAUGCAACAUCUUGUUCUAAUGUCCUCUGCUCCAGGUCACAACAUUGAGCUACAAAGUGUGUGCAGUGACUCCAGUCUGCAUUCAUGCUACAAGAUGAUCCGUUUAGUAAGACUGAGCAAGGCUUGUUAACCUCUUGGACGUGAGAGAUUUCCCCUGAGAAAAUAUAUAAAACAAGAGAAAAGAAAGAAAAUCAAGUACGAUCACUGAAAACCUGCUUAGUAGUAGCAACUAUUUACUGUAGCUGAUUUUUGUGCAAGGUCAACACUGAACCCUUUAAGUCCAUCUUAGUUCAAACCUCAUGACCAACCUGCCUUCCCCCCUCCCUCCCUCCACUGACACGUCAAACAAAACUAUCCUCCCUCCCUCCACCCUCCUACCCCUCCCAAAUCCUUCCUCCCCACUGCAAACAGACUGAUGGUUUCACAGCACAGAUUAGCAAAUCAUAAAACAUAUCCAUAAAUGCUCCAUCAAGGCUUAGCAAUGAAGCAACACCUAGGUUCCCAACUGAUUAUAAACAUGUUACAACAAAUCUUAGUAAGCUGCUCUGAAAGAUAAUGUGAGUGCAUUCUUGUUCAAUGGCUGAAAUUAAUGUCACAUUUAUAAAUAUCUAGAAAUGUAGAGGAUACGAUUUAAUUAAAUAAAAUGCAGUUUUUGAGGGUGUGAUUCAUGAAACUCAAGAUUGAGUCUGUUCCCUAUCUUACAUAAUAAUGGAUAAAAAGGUGCCAAUUAUAUAUCUGAAGAUAAAAGUCUACUUGUUCCCUGUUUCUAGCUGUUGAUGUCUUCCUGUUCUUUCCUAC
rnacentral:lncRNA from 1 species